GGUGGCUCAGUGGUAGAGCGCUUGCCUCGCAUGCACGAGGCCCUGGGUUCGAUUCCUCAGCACCA
rfam:Dipodomys ordii contig_21312, whole genome shotgun sequence.